UACGGGGGGUGCCAGCGUUAUUCGGAAUUAUUGGGCGUAAAGGGCGCGUAGGCUGUUUUACAAGUCAGAUGUGAAAUACCUGAGCUUAACCGAGGAAUAGCAUUUGGAACGGGAAGACUUGAGUAUGGGAGAGGGGAGUGGAAUUCCGAGUGUAGAGGUGAAAUUCGUAGAUAUCAGGAAGAACACCGGUGGCGAAAGCGGCUAACUGGACCAAUACUGACGCUUAGGCGCGAAGGCGUGGGGAGCAAACAGG
rnacentral:rRNA from 1 species